UCGAAGCUGGUAAGUGAUUACAAAAUAGCGAUUAAUAAGUCAGAGAUGUGUCGUUCAUAUUUAUCGUUUUUAUUCUCCAGAGCAACGGCCGACGGCCUACGCACCCCCAAUAUCUCAGCCCCCACCACCUCCAACCCCUUCUCAUGCGCAGACGGAUGAACAACAUCCGACAGCCGCUUCAAUAUCUCCGCCCACACCUCCUCCUCCUCCUCCUCCUCCCCCUUCUCCUGCACAGGAACAAUCCGACAGCGACUCUGAAACCGCUGAACGUGCUCCUGAGCAGCCAGCCGGU